UCCAUUUGAUCUGUAUAUCACUGUAGCCUUACACAAUCUUCCUUACUAUCUGCAAUAUUGCCAAAUUUUCAUGUCAAUUAUAAACUUACUCAUCAUUCCUUCUACAUUCAUAAUCAAGUAAUUAAUCUAGUGUGCUUUGAUGUUUCAAUGUACAUGUGAACUAAUCUAAUCGACAUUGAGUGGCCACGUUUUAAGUACAGGAGUGAAACCCAGUGUGAUCUUCUGCUGCUGUAGCCUAUCCAUUUCAAGGUUCAAAGUGUUGUGCAUUCAGAGUCGCUUUUCUGCACACCACUGUUUUCAUCAAGUCAAGACAAAUCGUGAAGUUUAUUGUCAUUUAACUACAUAUACAUAUAUAAUGUAUAUAAAAAAGAGACAACAUUUCUUCGAACCAGGAUGUAAAAUACAUGAACACAUAACAACUUACUGAAGAGGAUGAAUUCUGCUUUUCAUAGAUCAUGAUGCAGCCACAUUAGGGGUAUAACAUACACAACGCAGGGUUGAAGCCUACCUAGACA